GCUUGAUAAAGGCAAACUUAGUGAAAACUAAGGACGCAAAGCCACGGGUCUUCUACUUAAAAGUAAAGAUCGCCGGGUUGCCAAG
rnacentral:ncRNA from 2 species